rnacentral:rRNA from 1 species
CCAGCAGCCGCGGUAACACCGGCAGCUCUAGUGGUAGCUGUUUUAUUGGGCCUAAAGCGUUCGUAGCCGGUUUAAUAAGUCUCUGGUGAAAUCCUAUAGCUUAACUGUGGGAAUUGCUGGAGAUACUAUUAGGCUUGAGAUCGGGAGAGGUCAGAGGUACUCCUGGGGUAGGGGUGAAAUCCUGUAAUCCUAGGAGGACCACCUGUGGCGAAGGCGUCUGACUAGAACGAAUCUGACGGUGAGGACGAAAGCUAGGGGCGCGAACCGGAUUAGAUACCCGGGUAGUCCUAGCCGUAAACUAUGCGGACUUGGUGUGAGGGUGGCUCUGAGCCGUCCUGGUGCCGAAGGGAAGCUGUUAAGUCCGCCGCCUGGGAAGUACGGUCGCAAGACUGAACUUAAAGGAAUUGGCGGGGGAGCACCACAACGCGUGGAGCCUGCGGUUUAAUUGGAUUCAACGCCGGAGAUCUCACCAGCGGCGACAGCAGUAUGAUGACCAGGUUGAUGACUUUGUUUGACAAGCUGAGAGGUGGUGCAUGG